rnacentral:sRNA from 1 species
UGCAUUGAGUCAGCGGGUUGUCUGCAGG